UUGAAGCAAUCUAAGGCCGCCCCGGAUAGACUUUUGAAAUUGCAUAGGCCAGGUAAUGGAUGGUAAUUUUAGGUUGGGUCAUGAGGCAUGUGGUGGGCUCAAAGAGAUCUUGUUGAGCAAUGAUCUGUGUUGGAAAUAGAGUGAUACAAUUGAUCCGGGAGUAUGGAAUAAAAUGAAGCUUUUUGAUGCACAAUAGUCCACUUCUAGUGCUUUGGCUGGCAUUGGAACUGAGGCAUUAUGCAGAAGCUAUCUGGGCUGCAACGGAGUUUGGUGACUCCUAGGUUGGUAGAUGCAGUGAAGUUAUCAUUCAAAUUACUUCUCGAUCAGGAGAACUUGGUAUCAAUGUGGAGGUAAGUUUGCACUAUGAUCUUCUUUUUAAGCCAAGUUAGUCAUUCAUUGUCAAGCACUUCUCAUUUCUUAGAACUGAGUCAUUGUUUUGCCCUGCAGGUGCCGCAAGC